rnacentral:rRNA from 1 species
AUACGUAGGGGGCGAGCGUUGUCCGGAAUGAUUGGGCGUAAAGGGCGCGUAGGCGGCCCGGUAAGUCUGGAGUGAAAGUCCUGUUUUUAAGAUGGGAAUUGCUUUGGAUACUGUCGGGCUUGAGUGCAGGAGAGGUAAGUGGAAUUCCCAGUGUAGCGGUGAAAUGCGUAGAGAUUGGGAGGAACACCAGUGGCGAAGGCGACUUACUGGACUGUAACUGACGCUGAGGCGCGAAAGUGUGGGGAGCAAACAGGAUUAGAUACCCUGGUAGUCCACACUGUAAACGAUGAAUGCUAGGUGUAGGGGGUAUCGACCCCUUCUGUGCCGCAGUCAACACAAUAAGCAUUCCGCCUGGGGAGUACGGCCGCAAGGUUGAAACUCAAAUGAAUUGGCGGG